AAUACGUUCCCGGACCUUGCACACACCGCCCGUCAAGCCAUGGAAGCCGGGUGUACCUAAAGUCGGUAACCGCAAGGAGCCGCCUAAAGAGUGACUGGUAACUGGGGUG
rnacentral:rRNA from 1 species